rnacentral:rRNA from 1 species
AACGAACGCUGGCGGCGUGCUUAACACAUGCAAGUCGCACGAGAAAGUCGUAGCAAUACGGCGAGUAAAGUGGCGCACGGGUCAUUAACACGUGGAUAAUCAACCUCUGGGAGGGGGACAACCUGUCGAAAGACGGGCUAAUACCCCGUAAGACCACGGAAUCUUCGGAUUCUGAGGUAAAAGGCGGCCUCUACUUGUAAGCUGUCGCCUGGAGACGAGUCCGCGCACCAUUAGCUAGUUGGCGGGGUAACGGCCCACCAAGGCCAAGAUGGUUAGCUGGUCUGGGAGGACGACCAGCGACCAUGGAACGGAGACACGGUCCAGACUCCUACGGGAGGCAGCAGUGAGGAAUAUUGGACAAUGGGCGAAAGCCUGAUCCAGCGACGCCGCGUGAGUGAUGAAGGCCUUCGGGUCGUAAAGCUCUGUCGGAGGGAACGAACAAGGGUGACCUAACACGUCAUCCCCUGACGGUACUCUCAAAGGAAGCACCGGCUAACUCUGUGCCAGCAGCCGCAGUAA